AACGAACGCUGGCGGCAUGCCUAACACAUGCAAGUCGAACGAGACCUUCGGGUCUAGUGGCGCACGGGUGCGUAACGCGUGGGAACCUGCCCUUAGGUUCGGAAUAACUCCCCGAAAGGGGUGCUAAUACCGGAUAAUGUCUUCGGACCAAAGAUUUAUCGCCUUUGGAUGGGCCCGCGUUGGAUUAGCUAGUUGGUAGGGUAAAAGCCUACCAAGGCGACGAUCCAUAGCUGGUCUGAGAGGAUGAUCAGCCACACUGGGACUGAGACACGGCCCAGACUCCUACGGGAGGCAGCAGUGGGGAAUAUUGGACAAUGGGCGAAAGCCUGAUCCAGCAAUGCCGCGUGAGUGAUGAAGGCCUUAGGUUUGUAAAGCUCUUUUACCCGGGAUGAUAAUGACAGUACCGGGAGAAUAAGCUCCGGCGAACUCCGU
rnacentral:rRNA from 1 species